UAUCAGAAAAAGAAAAUAUCAUCAAUAUUUUUUUAAUGUUCUUUUCAAUUUGAAAUAGAACUUCUCUUAGGAAUGAAUGGUCUCCUGUUAAAAAAUAUGCCACAGCCUCACUUUCUGUGUUUUACAUUGCAGUGUCAUGAAGAAGAUACACAAAACCAAGAAAAUCUUAUCAGUGAGGAGUGGAUGGAUGAAAACCCCUGCUGAAUACUGUAUCCAGGCAUAAAGAUC
rnacentral:lncRNA from 1 species